rnacentral:rRNA from 1 species
ACGAAGGGGGCAAGCGUUGUUCGGAAUUACUGGGCGUAAAGGGCGCGUAGGCGGCUUGCCAAGUCAGGCGUGAAAUCCCCAGGCUCAACCUGGGAACUGCGUCCGAUACUGGAUGGCUUGAAUCCGGGAGAGGGAUGCAGAAUUCCAGGUGUAGCGGUGAAAUGCGUAGAUAUCUGGAGGAAUACCGGUGGCGAAGGCGGCAUCCUGGACCGGCAUUGACGCUGAGGAGCGAAAGCCAGGGGAGCAAACGGGA